GGCUCAGGACGAACGCUGGCGGCGCGCUUAACACAUGCAAGUCGAGCGAGAACCGGGCCUUCGGGCUCGGGGAAAGCGGCGAACGGGUGAGUAACACGUGGGUAAUCUGCCCUCGGCAUCGGGAUAGCCCGGGGAAACCCGGAUUAAUACCGGAUAGCCUCCGAAGCUCUCAAGCGUCGGAGAAAAGGUGGCUUCGGCUUCCGGCUGAGGAUGAGCCCGCGGCGGAUUAGCUUGUUGGUGGGGUAAAGGCCUACCAAGGCGACGAUCCGUAGCUGGUCUGAGAGGACGAUCAGCCACACUGGGACUGAGACACGGCCCAGACUCCUACGGGAGGCAGCAGUGGGGAAUCUUGCGCAAUGGGCGAAAGCCUGACGCAGCGACGCCGCGUGCGGGAAGAAGGCCUUCGGGUUGUAAACCGCUUUCAGGAGGGACGAAGCCACUCGGGUUAAUAGCCCAGAGGGUGACGGUACCUCCAGAAGAAGCCCCGGCUAACUACGUGCCAGCAGCCGCGGUAAUACGUAGGGGGCUAGCGUUGUCCGGAUUUAUUGGGCGUAAAGAGCGUGUAGGCGGCCAGGUAGGUCCGUUGUGAAAACUCGAGGCUCAACCUCGAGACGUCGGCGGAAACCCUCUGGCUAGAGUCCGGAAGAGGAGAGUGGAAUUCCUGGUGUAGCGGUGAAAUGCGCAGAUAUCAGGAAGAACACCCGUGGCGAAGGCGGCUCUCUGGGACGGUACUGACGCUGAGACGCGAAAGCGUGGGGAGCAAACAGGAUUAGAUACCCUGGUAGUCCACGCCGUAAACGAUGGGUGCUAGGUGUGGGGAGUGUCGACUCUCUCUGUGCCGAAGCUAACGCACUAAGCACC
rnacentral:rRNA from 1 species